rfam:Marinobacter nanhaiticus D15-8W genomic scaffold super1, whole genome shotgun sequence.
AACAAGAGUAGAAGCGGUCAGGGGCCGGCGUCUUACAGGACGCACGGGCAUCCCGGGACAUUGCUCUUCAA